rnacentral:rRNA from 1 species
GACGAACGCUGGCGGCGUGCUUAACACAUGCAAGUCGUACGGUACGGUCCUGUCUGGGGUCCCAGGGGUGCGUACGGCGUGGUAACCUGCCCGUAACCUGCGCAUAACUCCCCGAUAACGCUGCUAAACUCGGACUAUUUCUGCGUACGUACGAUUUCUCGCUGUUGGGUGGGCCCGAGUUGGAGUGGGUAGUGAGUAGGGUAAAACCCGACCAAGGCGACGAUCCAGAGCUGGCGGGAGAGGAUGAUCAGGCACACUGGGAAUGAGACACGGCCCAGACGCCGACGGGAGGCAGCAGUGGGGAAUAGUGGACAAAGGGCGAAAGCCUGAUCCAGCAAUGCCGGGUGAGUGAUGAAGGCCUUAGGGUUGUAAAGCGCUGGUACCCGGGAUGAUAAUGACAGUACCGGGAGAAUAAGCUCCGGCGAACUCCGU